UGUCAUUCCAGGUCUGCGCGUGCCCUCAUUUAACACAACAGCGCCACCAACUGGACUGGAGUGUGAAACAUUAACGGGAAAGGAGGGUUCUUGCUGUUUUGCUUUAACGUUACUUGUAUUGCUUUUAUUUUGGUGCUUAAAAGAUAUUACACCAAUAUCCGACAACAUUUAGAGGAAUACCCGAGUUCUGGUUUGGUUUUCUCCCAUUCGCCUCGCGUAUCGCAGUGUUUUGCCUGGUUUCGGCUAGUAGGUUAACUAAUUCAGCUAACGUUAUCUCGCGAGUUAAUCGAUACUCUGCUGCUUUCACUCCGCAAGGAUACGAGGAACACCUCAUGCAUCUUUCUUAAAAGAUUAUGGCAUAUAUCUGUACGUGACAAAGGGCUGUGAUCUCGGGUUGGACAUUGUGGAUGUUGUGAGAGGCACAGUGAAGCUGAAGACCAGAUGUUCAUCUGACACAAGCGAAAAUGAUGCCUGCGAGGAGACAUUUCUCAUGGACAGACAUAGAGCAGAAGAGGUUUACCACUGCGACCUGCUCUAUAAAAGUUACCUUCUAAAACACAGUUUAUUUUCAAUGAGGUGCGAACGGUCACAUAAAUCAGAGUGGACAUAAUCCUGUAAAAGCAGUAAGAGACCAAGAAGUACACAACAUUUUUCCCCCCCUCUGAUGAAAAGCUGAAAUCUGAGCUGGUGUGAGGACAAAAUGCUUGAACUUUCUUUUGUGUGUCAUACAGUCACCAGCCAAGAACUGCUGCUCUUCUUCACACUGACUGAGAUGGGGGUUUCUGCAUCUUACUUGGAUAACAAAUCCCGUCACUUAGCGGGAAAGAUCAGACUUCAGAACUCUGAUUAUUUUCACUAGAAAACCAUACGAGACCAUUUUGUCUAAUCACCUUUUUUCAGGAUUUUUCAUAUCUACAUCUGUGGUCAUAUUCAAAUUGGACAUCUGUUCAUAACUUCAAACUUGGCUAUAUGAAGGUUUUCAUACUUCUACCCUAGUCCUUCCUCAUUCUGCCUGUUUUGUGCUCUAUCCAGAAAUUCACAUCCCUCUUCCAUGUCUCUUUUUCACUCUGCUGCUGUCUGUAUUUUACUGAAUAAAUAUUUAAUAGACAGUGGAACAGGGUAUGUGUAGAAUAUUGUAAAGCAUGUCCUUUUAAAUUCUGUGGAAAUCUGAUGUUUUAUGUAGAAUUCUGGGCUGCAGAGUUCUACCAAGCCUUCUUGUGUGUUUCUCUUGCCAUAGCUUCCUGAAUCCGAUCCAUAUCAUCCAAUAAAAUGGACUCAUUUCUUUCUAUAAACCACUUUAAUUUUCUUCAUCCUCAUUACGAAUUAUGUUUUAAAAUGAAACUUGAUCUUAAUGGCAUUACUUUAGAGUGUAGAAAUUAGAAGAAUAACAGUAAACCUCAGAACACUCAUGAUGAAUGAUGUGCGCGUUUGUUGUUUACUGAAAUCCCUUUUGACAAUAUAACUCAUUGGGACUUUAUCUAGCACUCUGUGUGCGUAACUUCCGCAGAAGUUGGCUGCAGUUAGUGCCGGUGCUCAGAUAAACGUGUCAUUCUGUUUGAUGCAGUAACAGUGCGUGUACUGAAUGCAAAAGUGCGACCGUGUGUUUGUCUCUUGCACUUCUCUGCACUGCUUGAGACCUUGACAUAAUGACAAACCUUACGUUGUCUGUCAGGCAUGGUGAAUUUUUAAAUAAGUUGAACAAAAGUGUGUUUCUCUCUCACACACACAAGCUUUUGUAAUGCCAAAUCAUUGCUGACAGGUGUUUUCUACAGUAUUGUUUUUGCAGCACCUGUACCCUCUCUCUCCUAUUGGUCCUUGCUAUAUACUUUAUUUUUCUGUAUAUGUUAGUAUAUUUUUAUUAUUUUAAAAAAGACUUUUGGGAAUGGGAAUCUUUUUAAUUAAAUUUAGUUAAAUAUCUGGGCAGUGAGUGAGUCAGAUAUUAAAUCAUUAACAACUCAAAUGAGCAGCACAUGAGCACCAUUUGUUUGUGAAUCAGAUGAUAGUGGCUUCUUUUUUUUGCUGUUCAUGCAGUCACUGAGGAAAAUGCAAUAGUCAUGUAUUUAUUGUCUUUGUUCCAUUUUGUGACACACAGUCAUUUCACAUUGAGUCUAGUCAACAGACUCCACUCAAAAUACUAUUUUUUUGUGUCUGUAUUCAGCAGCAGUCACAGGAUAUUCGCUGAGUAACGAUACAAGGAAUUAUUGUUUAGACCAAGUUUCUUUGUAGAUUUGUUGAUUAAAUU
rnacentral:lncRNA from 1 species